rnacentral:rRNA from 1 species
UGCCGCAAGGUGCAUGGCAGACGGGUGAGUAACGCGUGGGCAAUCUACCUUUUAGUGGGGAAUAACGUUCCGAAAGGAAUGGUAAUACCGCAUGUGAUCAUCGACUGGGAUGUUGGUGAUGAAAGCCGGGGACCGCAAGGCCUGGCGCUAGAAGAGGAGCCCGCGUCUGAUUAGCUAGUUGGUGGGGUAAUGGCCUACCAAGGCAUCGAUCAGUAGCCGGCCUGAGAGGGUGAUCGGCCACACUGGAACUGAGACACGGUCCAGACUCCUACGGGAGGCAGCAGUGGGGAAUUUUGCGCAAUGGACGAAAGUCUGACGCAGCAACGCCGCGUGGGUGAUGAAGGUCUUCGGAUCGUAAAACCCUGUCGUCGGGGACGAAGGUAUGGGCGUUAAUGGCGUCUGUGCUUGACGGUACCCGGAGAGGAAGCCCCGGCUAACUCUGUGCCAGCAGCCGCGGUAAUACAGAGGGGGCAAGCGUUAUUCGGAAUUAUUGGGCGUAAAGGGUGCGUAGGCGGUCUUUUAAGUAGGAUGUGUAAUCCCCGGGCUCAACCCGGGAAGUGCAUUGGAAACUGGCGAACUUGAGUACGGGAGAGGGAAGUGGAAUUCCGAGUGUAGGGGUGAAAUCCGUAGAUAUUCGGAGGAACACCAGUGGCGAAGGCGGCUUCCUGGACCGAUACUGACGCUGAGACGCGAAAGCGUGGGGAGCAAACAGGAUUAGAUACCCUGGUAGUCCACGCCGUAAACGAUGGGCACUAGGUGUCGCGGGUAUUGACCCCUGCGGUGCCGUAGC